AGCACCCAUUGACGUCUCUAGAGGACAUCUGAAAGAGAUUAAAGAUUUAUCGGUGAUGGAUGGGGAUGCGUCUGAUUAGCUUGUUGGCGGGGUAACGGCCCACCAAGGCUACGAUCAGUAGGGGUUCUGAGAGGAAGGUCCCCCACAUUGGAACUGAGACACGGUCCAAACUCCUACGGGAGGCAGCAGUGAGGAAUAUUGGUCAAUGGACGAGAGUCUGAACCAGCCAAGUAGCGUGCAGGAUGACGGCCCUAUGGGUUGUAAACUGCUUUUAUAAGGGAAUAAAGUGAGUCUCGUGAGACUUUUCGCAUGUACCUUAUGAAUAAGGACCGGCUAAUUCCGUGCCAGCAGCCGCGGUAAUACGGAAGGUCCGGGCGUUAUCCGGAUUUAUUGGGUUUAAAGGGAGCGUAGGCCGGAGAUUAAGCGUGUUGUGAAAUGUAGAUGCUCAACAUCUGCACUGCAGCGCGAACUGGUUUCCUUGAGUACGCACAAAGUGGGCGGAAUUCGUGGUGUAGCGGUGAAAUGCUUAGAUAUCACGAAGAACUCCGAUUGCGAAGGCAGCUCACUGGAGUGCAACUGACGCUGAAGCUCGAAAGUGCGGGUAUCGAACAGGAUUAGAUACCCUGGUA
rnacentral:rRNA from 1 species